rnacentral:tRNA from 1 species
GGAAGAUUAGCUCAUUUGGAUAGAGCGUUGCCCUCCGAAGGCAAAGGCGGUGGGUUCGAAUCCCGCAUCUUCCA